rnacentral:ncRNA from 1 species
ACAACGAAAAGCUAAACCUGCUGUAACGCAGGGACAGAAAGUGACGGGGCCUAAAUGGGGAAGCCGAGCUGCCGAA